GAGGAUUUAAUACCAAAUAAAACUAGCAAACAACUCAAACAGCUUGAAUUAACCUCAAACCAUCUUUAAAUCAAUCCAGAACAAUUUCUGAAGAGUUUAACACUUCAAACACACAUAUCUCUAGUUGCUUUUAGCUUGUAUGACUAAAAUUCUAAUUGACAACUGGAAAUUGGAAUUGUUCUGAAGAAAGAGGUUCUAAUGGGCAGUAAAACCUCUGGAAUUUCAGAGAAUUUCAUAAUUUUAUGAGCUUGGAAUUUCUGGAAUUGUUUUUUAGAAAUUUUUGGAGAUUUUUCAGACUGCAAAGGCUUUCUGGGAAUUUUAGAGGUCUCAGAUUGUGCCCCAGAACUUUGGGAAUUUUUUCUGGGAUUUUUGAC
rnacentral:lncRNA from 1 species